rnacentral:rRNA from 1 species
AGUGAACGCUGGCGGUAGGCCUAACACAUGCAAGUCGAACGGCAGCACAGUAAGAGCUUGCUCUUACGGGUGGCGAGUGGCGGACGGGUGAGGAAUACAUCGGCAUCUACUUUUUCGUGGGGGAUAACGUAGGGAAACUUACGCUACUACCGCAUACGACCUACGGGUGAAAGCAGGGGAUCUUCGGACCUUGCUCGAUUGAAUGAGCCGAUGUCGGAUUAGCUAGUUGGCGGGGUAAAGGCCCACCAAGGCGACGAUCCGUAGCUGGUCUGAGAGGAUGAUCAGCCACACUGGAACUGAGGCACGGUCCAGACUCCUACGGGAGGCAGCAGUGGGGAAUAUUGGACAAUGGGCGCAAGCCUGAUCCAGCCAUACCGCGUGGGUGAAGAAGGCCUUCGGGUUGUAAAGCCCUUUUGUUGGGAAAGAAAAGCAGCAGGUUAAUACCUCGAUGUUCUGACGGUACCAAAAGAAUAAGCACCGGCUAACUUCGUG